rnacentral:rRNA from 1 species
AUGUCAGAGGCUACAAUGUCAUCCAUCGCGCUGCACGACAUCACAGCUGCAACAUUCAAAGUUAUGCUUCGGUUCAUUUACACCGAUGAAUUGCCCGGAGAAGACGAUCCCACAGACUCAUCCGUUGAGAUGUUCCAGAACCAGCUCGCUGCUGCUGAUCGGUAUGCACUGGACCGGCUGAAGAUUAUUUGUGCCCAGAAGUUAUGGGAGAAAGUGUCCGUAGAUACAGUUGCAACUAUCUUAGCUUGUGCUGAAACCUACAACUGUCAGGAGUUGAAGAACAAGUGCAUUGACUUCUUUGUGGCGGAUGAAAAUUUCAAGGAGGCCAUGUUCACGGAUGGUUAUGCGCUACUGGUUCUGAAAUUCCCAUCGAUUACUGCUGAGCUCAAAAGGAGGGUUAGGGCAUAA